AAAUUGAAGAGUUUGAUCAUGGCUCAGAUUGAACGCUGGGGGCAGGCCUAACACAUGCAAGUCGAACGGUAACAGGAAGCAGCUUGCUGCUUUGCUGACGAGUGGCGGACGGGUGAGUAAUGUCUGGGAAACUGCCUGAUGGAGGGGGAUAACUACUGGAAACGGUGGCUAAUACCGCAUAACGUCGCAAGACCAAAGAGGGGGACCUUCGGGCCUCUUGCCAUCAGAUGUGCCCAGAUGGGAUUAGCUAGUUGGUGAGGUAACGGCUCACCAAGGCGACGAUCCCUAGCUGGUCUGAGAGGAUGGCCAGCCACACUGGAACUGAGACACGGUCCAGACUCCUACGGGAGGCAGCAGUGGGGAAUAUUGCACAAUGGGCGCAAGCCUGAUGCAGCCAUGCCGCGUGUAUGAAGAAGGCCUUCGGGUUGUAAAGUACUUUCAGCGGGGAGGAAGGUGUUGUGGUUAAUAACCGCAGCAAUUGACGUUACCCGCAGAAGAAGCACCGGCUAACUCCGUGCCAGCAGCCGCGGUAAUACGGAGGGUGCAAGCGUUAAUCGGAAUUACUGGGCGUAAAGCGCACGCAGGCGGUCUGUCAAGUCGGAUGUGAAAUCCCCGGGCUCAACCUGGGAACUGCAUUCG
rnacentral:rRNA from 2 species